CAAAGGAGAUGUAAAUUUUGCUAGAAACUGGGUCGAUUAUAAAAAUGGAUUUGGAUCUUUUGAUGGCGAUUUUUGGCUUGGAAAUGACUGGAUCUCAUACCUCACUCACAAAGGCUACAAUGAACUGUGUGUUGACAUGCAAUUUGAAGGUAAAUCCUACUCCAUGGUUUACAGCAAUGUGACGGUGGGAAAUGAAGCUGAUUUGUAUAGGAUGAACUUGUCAUUCAAGACAGGCGACAUUAGAGACUAUUUUAACUACCACAAUGGAAUGCCCUUUACCACAUUUGAUAAGGACAACGAUAAUUCGGAUUUGGUUAACUGUUCCGUAAACUGUACGGGUGGUUGGUGGUAUAAAAAUUGCUUUUUGGUAAAACUAACUGGGGAUUGGCAUGCCGAUGAUUCUUGUAAAGGAAUUGCAUGGGGCCCUAUAACAACAAGUGUAAGCUCUAUGAAAUACGCAGAGAUGAAAUUACAUCGUCCGUGAUCCUAAUAUAGACAACAGACUGAGGUUUGAAGUUUUAUGGAAAUCCAUUAACAAUUUUAUAGCAAUAUAAAAAAUGCAAAAAAAUUAUAUUUUAUUUAUUGUGAAAAUUAAUUUGUCAUUGGUAAAAAAAAAGUUACUUAGGGGUUCAUUUUUUAUACUUUAGGUAUAAACAUGACAUAAAAUGUAAA